GCCAGGUGGGGUGGCACACGCCUGUAAUCCCAGCAGCUCAGGAGACUGAGGCAGGAGGAUCACAAGUUCAAAGCCAGCCUCAGCAAAAGCGAGGUGCUAAGCGACUAAGUGAGAUCCUGUCUCUA
rnacentral:sRNA from 1 species